UGGCUCAGAUUGAACGCUGGCGGCAGGCUUAACACAUGCAAGUCGAGCGGAGAGAGGUAGCUUGCUACUGAUCUUAGCGGCGGACGGGUGAGUAAUGCUUAGGAAUCUGCCUAUUAGUGGGGGACAACAUUUCGAAAGGAAUGCUAAUACCGCAUACGUCCUACGGGAGAAAGCAGGGGAUCUUCGGACCUUGCGCUAAUAGAUGAGCCUAAGUCGGAUUAGCUAGUUGGUGGGGUAAAGGCCUACCAAGGCGACGAUCUGUAGCGGGUCUGAGAGGAUGAUCCGCCACACUGGGACUGAGACACGGCCCAGACUCCUACGGGAGGCAGCAGUGGGGAAUAUUGGACAAUGGGCGCAAGCCUGAUCCAGCCAUGCCGCGUGUGUGAAGAAGGCCUUAUGGUUGUAAAGCACUUUAAGCGAGGAGGAGGCUACUUUAGUUAAUACCUAGAGAUAGUGGACGUUACUCGCAGAAUAAGCACCGGCUAACUCUGUGCCAGCAGCCGCGGUAAUACAGAGGGUGCAAGCGUUAAUCGGAUUUACUGGGCGUAAAGCGCGCGUAGGCGGCUAAUUAAGUCAAAUGUGAAAUCCCCGAGCUUAACUUGGGAAUUGCAUUCGAUACUGGUUAGCUAGAGUGUGGGAGAGGAUGGUAGAAUUCCAGGUGUAGCGGUGAAAUGCGUAGAGAUCUGGAGGAAUACCGAUGGCGAAGGCAGCCAUCUGGCCUAACACUGACGCUGAGGUGCGAAAGCAUGGGGAGCAAACAGGAUUAGAUACCCUGGUAGUCCAUGCCGUAAACGAUGUCUACUAGCCGUUGGGGCCUUUGAGGCUUUAGUGGCGCAGCUAACGCGAUAAGUAGACCGCCUGGGGAGUACGGUCGCAAGACUAAAACUCAAAUGAAU
rnacentral:rRNA from 1 species